CCUACGGGUGGCAGCAGUGGGGAAUAUUGGGCAAUGGGCGCAAGCCCGACCCAGCAACGCCGCGUGAAGGAAGAAGGCUUUCGGGUUGUAAUCUUCUUUUCUCAGGGACGAAGCAAGUGACGGUACCUGAGGAAUAAGCCACGGCUAACUACGUGCCAGCAGCCGCGGGAAUACGUAGGUGGCAAGCGUUAUCCGGAUUUACUGGGUGUAAAGGGCGUGUAGGCGGGAAAGCAAGUCAGAUGUGAAAACCAUGGGCUCAACCUGUGGCCUGCAUUUGAAACUGUUUUUCUUGAGUACUGGAGAGGCAGACGGAAUUGCUAGUGUAGCGGUGAAAUGCGUAGAUAUUAGGAGGAACACCAGUGGCGAAGGCGGUCUGCUGGACAGCAACUGACGCUGAGGCGCGAAAGCGUGGGGAGCAAACAGGAUUAGAUACCCGAGUAGUC
rnacentral:rRNA from 1 species